rnacentral:rRNA from 1 species
UCGAGAAUCUUCCGCAAUGGACGAAAGUCUGACGGAGCGACGCCGCGUGCGGGAUGAAGGCCCUUGGGUUGUAAACCGCUGUCAGAGGGGAUGAAAUCUUCGGAGGUACUCCUCCGAAGUUGACAGAGCCUCAAAGGAAGCACGGGCUAAGUACGUGCCAGCAGCCGCGGUAACACGUACUGUGCGAACGUUAUUCGGAAUCACUGGGCUUACAGGGUGCGUAGGUGGCUUGAUAAGCAGGGUGUGAAAUCCCUCGGCUCAACCGAGGAACUGCGCUUUGAACUGUCGAGCUAGAGUAUGCUAGAGGUGAAUGGAACAUCCAGUGGAGCGGUGAAAUGUGUUGAUAUUGGAUGGAACACCAGAGGCGAAGGCGAUUCACUGGGGCAUAACUGACACUGAGGCACGAAAGCCAGGGAGCAAACGGGAUUAGAUACCCAGGUAGUCCCUGAGCGGGCUGGCAAGGCGCAU